rnacentral:rRNA from 1 species
GAUGAACGCUGGCGGCGUGCCUAAUACAUGCAAGUCGAGCGAACGGACGAGAAGCUUGCUUCCCUGAUGUUAGCGGCGGACGGGUGAGUAACACGUGGAUAACCUACCUAUAAGACUUGGAUAACUUCGGGAAACCGUAUCUAAUACCGGAUAAUAUUUUGAACCGCAUGGUUCAAAAGUGAAAGACGGUCUUGCUGUCACUUAUAGAUGGAUCCGCGCUGCAUUAGCUAGUUGGUAAGGUAACGGCUUACCAAGGCAACGAUGCAUAGCCGACCUGAGAGGGUGAUCAGCCACACUGGAACUGAGACACGGUCCAGACUCCUACGGGAGGCAGCAGUAGGGAAUCUUCCGCAAUGGGCGAAAGCCUGACGGAGCAACGCCGCGUGAGUGAUGAAGGUCUUCGGAUCGUAAAACUCUGUUAUUAGGGAAGAACAUAUGUGUAAGUAACUGUGCACGUCUUGACGGUACCUAAUCAGAAAGCCACGGCUAACUACGUG